CAGUCGCCGCGGUAAUACCGAGGGUGCGAGCGUUAAUCGGAUUUACUGGGCGUAAAGCGUGCGUAGGCGGCUUCUUAAGUCGGAUGUGAAAUCCCUGAGCUUAACUUAGGAAUUGCAUUCGAUACUGGGAAGCUAGAGUAUGGGAGAGGAUGGUAGAAUUCCAGGUGUAGCGGUGAAAUGCGUAGAGAUCUGGAGGAAUACCGAUGGCGAAGGCAGCCAUCUGGCCUAAUACUGACGCUGAGGUACGAAAGCAUGGGGAGCAAACAGGAUUAGAUACCCGUGUAGUCCCUGUCUCUUAUAC
rnacentral:rRNA from 1 species